rnacentral:rRNA from 1 species
UACGUAGGUGGCGAGCGUUGUCCGGAUUUACUGGGCGUAAAGGAUGCGUAGGUGGAAAUUUAAGUGGGAUGUGAAAUCCCCGGGCUCAACCCGGGAACUGCAUUCCAAACUGGAUUUCUUGAGUACAGGAGAGGAAAGCGGAAUUCCUAGUGUAGCGGUGAAAUGCGUAGAUAUUAGGAGGAACACCAGUGGCGAAGGCGGCUUUCUGGACUGUAACUGACACUGAGGCAUGAAAGCGUGGGCAGCAAACAGGAUUAGAUACCCCCGUAGUCCCUGAG